rnacentral:rRNA from 3 species
GGGCGUUAAGUUGCAGGGUAUAGACCCGAAACCCGGUGAUCUAGCCAUGGGCAGGUUGAAGGUUGGGUAACACUAACUGGAGGACCGAACCGACUAAUGUUGAAAAAUUAGCGGAUGACCUGUGGCUGGGGGUGAAAGGCCAAUCAAACCGGGAGAUAGCUGGUUCUCCCCGAAAGCUAUUUAGGUAGCGCCUCGUGAACUCAUCUCCGGGGGUAGAGCACUGUUUCGGCUAGGGGGCCAUCCCGGCUUACCAACCCGAUGCAAACUGCGAAUACCGGAGAAUGUUAUCACGGGAGACACACGGCGGGUGCUAACGUCCGUCGUGAAGAGGGAAACAACCCAGACCGCCAGCUAAGGUCCCAAAGUCAUGGUUAAGUGGGAAACGAUGUGGGAAGGCCCAGACAGCCAGGAUGUUGGCUUAGAAGCAGCCAUCAUUUAAAGAAAGCGUAAUAGCUCACUGGUCGAGUCGGCCUGCGCGGAAGAUGUAACGGGGCUAAACCAUGCACCGAAGCUGCGGCAGCGACACUUUAGUGUUGUUGGGUAGGGGAGCGUUCUGUAAGCCGUUGAAGGUGUCCUGUGAGGGGUGCUGGAGGUAUCAGAAGUGCGAAUGCUGACAUAAGUAACGAUAAAGCGGGUGAAAAGCCCGCUCGCCGGAAGACCAAGGGUUCCUGUCCAACGUUAAUCGGGGCAGGGUGAGUCGACCCCUAAGGCGAGGCCGAAAGGCGUAGUCGAUGGGAAACGGGUUAAUAUUCCCGUACUUGGUGUUACUGCGAAGGGGGGACGGAGAAGGCUAUGUUGGCCGGGCGACGGUAGUCCCGGUUUAAGCGUGUAGGCUGGUUUUCCAGGCAAAUCCGGAAAAUCAAGGCUGAGGCGUGAUGACGAGGCACCACGGUGCUGAAGCAACAAAUGCCCUGCUUCCAGGAAAAGCCUCUAAGCAUCAGGUAACAUCAAAUCGUACCCCAAACCGACACAGGUGGUCAGGUAGAGAAUACCAAGGCGCUUGAGAGAACUCGGGUGAAGGAACUAGGCAAAAUGGUGCCGUAACUUCGGGAGAAGGCACGCUGACACGUAGGUGAAGUGAUUUACUCACGGAGCUGAAGUCAGUCGAAGAUACCAGCUGGCUGCAACUGUUUAUUAAAAACACAGCACUGUGCAAACACGAAAGUGGACGUAUACGGUGUGACGCCUGCCCGGUGCCGGAAGGUUAAUUGAUGGGGUCAGCGCAAGCGAAGCUCCUGAUCGAAGCCCCGGUAAACGGCGGCCGUAACUAUAACGGUCCUAAGGUAGCGAAAUUCCUUGUCGGGUAAGUUCCGACCUGCACGAAUGGCGUAAUGAUGGCCAGGCUGUCUCCACCCGAGACUCAGUGAAAUUGAACUCGCUGUGAAGAUGCAGUGUACCCGCGGCAAGACGGAAAGACCCCGUGAACCUUUACUAUAGCUUGACACUGAACAUUGAGCCUUGAUGUGUAGGAUAGGUGGGAGGCUUUGAAGCGUGGACGCCAGUCUGCGUGGAGCCGACCUUGAAAUACCACCCUUUAAUGUUUGAUGUUCUAACGUGGACCCGUAAUCCGGGUUGCGGACAGUGUCUGGUGGGUAGUUUGACUGGGGCGGUCUCCUCCUAAAGAGUAACGGAGGAGCACGAAGGUUGGCUAAUCCUGGUCGGACAUCAGGAGGUUAGUGCAAUGGCAUAAGCCAGCUUGACUGCGAGCGUGACGGCGCGAGCAGGUGCGAAAGCAGGUCAUAGUGAUCCGGUGGUUCUGAAUGGAAGGGCCAUCGCUCAACGGAUAAAAGGUACUCCGGGGAUAACAGGCUGAUACCGCCCAAGAGUUCAUAUCGACGGCGGUGUUUGGCACCUCGAUGUCGGCUCAUCACAUCCUGGGGCUGAAGUAGGUCCCAAGGGUAUGGCUGUUCGCCAUUUAAAGUGGUACGCGAGCUGGGUUUAGAACGUCGUGAGACAGUUCGGUCCCUAUCUGCCGUGGGCGCUGGAGAAUUGAGGGGGGCUGCUCCUAGUACGAGAGGACCGGAGUGGACGCAUCACUGGUGUUCGGGUUGUCAUGCCAAUGGCACUGCCCGGUAGCUAAAUGCGGAAAAGAUAAGUGCUGAAAGCAUCUAAGCACGAAACUUGCCCCGAGAUGAGUUCUCCCUGAGACCUUGAGUCUCCUGAAGGAACGUUAAAGACGAUGACGUUGAUAGGCCGGGUGUGUAAGCGCAGCGAUGCGUUGAGCUAACCGGUACUAAUGAACCGUGAGGCUUAACCUUACAACGCCGAAG